rnacentral:tRNA from 1 species
GCAUUGGUAGUGCAGUGGUAGAAUUCUCAUCUUUCGUGUGGAAGAUCUGGGUUCGAUUCCCAGCCAAUAUC